rnacentral:rRNA from 1 species
UACGGGGGGGGCAAGCGUUGUUCGGAAUUACUGGGCGUAAAGGGCUCGUAGGCGGUCUGUCGCGUCGGCUGUGAAAUCCCGAGGCUCAACCUCGGGUCUGCAGUCGAUACGGGCAAACUAGAGUAUUGCAGGGGAGACUGGAAUUCCUGGUGUAGCGGUGAAAUGCGCAGAUAUCAGGAGGAACACCGGUGGCGAAGGCGGGUCUCUGGGCAAUAACUGACGCUGAGGAGUGAAAGCGUGGGGAGCGAACAGG